UACGUAGGGUGCAAGCGUUGUCCGGAAUUAUUGGGCGUAAAGAGCUCGUAGGCGGUUUGUCGCGUCGGCUGUGAAAACCUAGGGCUCAACCCUGGGCUUGCAGCCGAUACGGGCAAACUAGAAUUCGGUAGGGGAGACUGGAAUUCCUGGUGUAGCGGUGAAAUGCGCAGAUAUCAGGAGGAACACCGGUGGCGAAGGCGGGUCUCUGGGCCGAUAUUGACGCUGAGGAGCGAAAGCGUGGGGAGCGAACAGG
rnacentral:rRNA from 1 species